CGUAUGGUACUUUGUUGAAUGAAAUGAUUCAUUCAAGCAGAGCAGCGAUACGGCCCAAUAGAGGU
rfam:Psychromonas ingrahamii 37, complete genome.